AGUGAACGCUGGCGGUAGGCCUAACACAUGCAAGUCGAACGGCAGCACAGUAAGAGCUUGCUCUUACGGGUGGCGAGUGGCGGACGGGUGAGGAAUACAUCGGAAUCUACUUUUUCGUGGGGGAUAACGUAGGGAAACUUACGCUAAUACCGCAUACGACCUACGGGUGAAAGCAGGGGAUCUUCGGACCUUGCGCGAUUGAAUGAGCCGAUGUCGGAUUAGCUAGUUGGCGGGGUAAAGGCCCACCAAGGCGACGAUCCGUAGCUGGUCUGAGAGGAUGAUCAGCCACACUGGAACUGAGACACGGUCCAGACGCCUAAGGGAGGCAGCAGUGGGGAAUAUUGGACAAUGGGCGCAAGCCUGAUCCAGCCAGACCGCGUGGGUGAAGAAGGCCUUCGGGUCGUAAAGCCCUUUUGUUGGGAAAGAAAAGCAGCAGGUUGAUACCCCGCUGUUCUGACGGUACCCAAAGAAGAAGCACCGGCUAACUUCGUG
rnacentral:rRNA from 1 species